rnacentral:rRNA from 1 species
UGAUAGUCCCGUACACGAAAAAGCGUUAUUGGUACUAGGCUUGCGACAAGUAGGGCGGGGCACGAGAAACCUUGUCUGAACAUGGGGGGACCAUCCUCCAAGGCUAAAUACUCCUAACUGACCGAUAGUGAACCAGUACCGUGAGGGAAAGGCGAAAAGAACCCCGGAGAGGGGAGUGAAAUAGAUCCUGAAACCGUAUGCGUACAAGCAGUGGGAGCAGACUUGUUCUGUGACUGCGUACCUUUUGUAUAAUGGGUCAGCGACUUAAUUUUAGUAGCAAGGUUAACCGUUUAGGGGAGCCGUAGGGAAACCGAGUCUUAAUAGGGCGCAUAGUUGCUAGGAUUAGACCCGAAACCGAGUGAUCUAGCCAUGCGCAGGUUGAAGGUGCGGUAACACGCACUGGAGGACCGAACCCACCGAUGUUGAA